rnacentral:lncRNA from 1 species
ACCGCCGUACCGGAAAGCACUUUUCCGGUACGGGCAGAGCCAGCAGCAUUCCAGGUUCAGAAUUGAACCCAAAGGCAGAAAUCACCAUUCUGAGAGUUGAACGUCGCCAUCCAUGAUUUAGACAUACCAUUCCAUGGCCUGUGCAUGCGCGUCCGUGUCCUUCACUACGUUGCCAUCACGUCCACCAACGCACACUUGACAUCCGUCCUGUCCAGAGCCGUCGUCGCGAGCUUCGACAACAUGAAUGUAAGCAACAUUCGGAACAUCCGUCCUGUUUGCAUGGGAUUGUCGUCCUCCCGCCGGCGGAAAAGCCACUCAACGUAUUGCUUAAGAAUUCCUUCCCAAGCCUAUAACACAAACAUAAUAACAUUGUCCUAGCAUUCCAUAGCCCUACUUGACUUGCCUACAAGUCCACAGCAACGAGUUGCCCCGGUCGGACCCUCCAAGUCUAGCCCAGUAGCUUACUGUGGGCUGACGUUAGUGAACAUGGAAUGCAAGCUGUGUGUGUGCUCAUCCCCUUUGAAAAAG